AUCCAUCUGAACAUAUUUUCCUGGAAUUAACUCCAUUAUAACAAGUUUUUCUUCCUUUAGAUGAGAGAAACCUACAUAAUAGUUGUGGGACUUUGGAAUAAAGCCACUAUGCAUUCCAGCUUGUAUUAACCUUAAAAAGACUCAGGGUCCUUUUGUCUGAGGAAACAUUUGGGCAUCUUUUAACGUGAAAUUUUUUCCCCAUAUCUAAUUUAGUUCCCAAGCUGCAGUGGAAAAUAUACUUUUCACUUGUGAAAAAGAACAAGUGUGUUUUGGGUAACUUGAAUGAAGACUAGGCUGUGGGGUUCCUGGAAAACACCUAAGGGCCAUCAGUGGUCCACAGACUUCAAGAAAUAUACAGCCAUCAGGUGAGGCUUUUCUGGAGACAGUGCCUGGAACAUAACAAUGCUGGACAAGUGUGAAGCCAGAAUUUUCUCAGUGGCAUCAGACUUCUGUCACAAAUAUGAGUUGAGCACUUCCCUACAGUGCUGAGGAUCCUAGGAGAUGAGGGAAGUGACUCCUGGUCAGGUCAAAUGACUUUUCCGGGUUUCCCGGGUGACAGAGUCAGAAAGAGCAAGGACAUCUUUCAACAUCCUGGCCAGUGCUCUUGGCAUGUUCCCUUCAUUAUUAUACUUUAAAAUUAUUGGACUUUUAAGGCAAAUUUCCAAGAAAAAUAAGUUCAAGCCGGGAACGAACAACCUGUUGGGUGCAGAUGAACCAUCUACAGUGUUCAUUAAUUUCCAAGAAUCACCUUGAAUCACUGAGGUCAAAAGGAAAAGCAGGU
rnacentral:lncRNA from 1 species